rnacentral:rRNA from 1 species
GAUGAACGCUGGCGGCGUGCCUAAUACAUGCAAGUCGAGCGAACGGACGAGAAGCUUGCUUCUCUGAUGUUAGCGGCGGACGGGUGAGUAACACGUGGAUAACCUACCUAUAAGACUGGGAUAACUUCGGGAAACCGGAGCUAAUACCGGAUAAUAUUUUGAACCGCAUGGUUCAAAAGUGAAAGGCGGUCUUGCUGUCACUUAUAGAUGGAUCCGCGCUGCAUUAGCUAGUUGGUAAGGUAACGGCUUACCAAGGCAACGAUGCAUAGCCGACCUGAGAGGGUGAUCGGCCACACUGGAACUGAGACACGGUCCAGACUCCUACGGGAGGCAGCAGUAGGGAAUCUUCCGCAAUGGGCGAAAGCCUGACGGAGCAACGCCGCGUGAGUGAUGAAGGUCUUCGGAUCGUAAAACUCUGUUAUUAGGGAAGAACAUAUGUGUAAGUAACUGUGCACAUCUUGACGGUACCUAAGCAGAAAGCCACGGCUAACUACGUG